UACGUAGGUCGCAAGCGUUGUCCGGAUUUACUGGGCGUAAAGAGCGCGCAGGCGGCUGGUCAAGUCCGAUGUGAAAUCUCCCGGCUUAACUGGGAAACUGCAUCGGAAACUGAUCGGCUUGAAGGUGGGAGAGGGUAGUGGAAUUCCCGGUGUAGUGGUGAAAUGCGUAGAUAUCGGGAGGAACACCAGUGGCGAAGGCGGGUUGCUGGGCUGACACUGACGCUGAUGCGCGAAAGCUAGGGGAGCGAAGCGGG
rnacentral:rRNA from 1 species